rnacentral:rRNA from 1 species
GAUAAACGCUGGCGGCGUGCAUGAGACAUGCAAGUCGAACGAAGGAUCGGGCUUGCUCGAUCCUUAGUGGCGGACGGCUGAGUAACGCGUAGGUGACCUACCCCGAAGUGGGGAAUAACUGCCCGAAAGGGCGGCUAAUACCGCCUGUGGUCGCACGUUCAUUCGUGCGAGUAAAGCCGCAAGGCGCUUCGGGAGGGGCCUGCGUCCGAUUAGCUCGUUGGUGGGGUAAUGGCUUACCAAGGCGACGAUCGGUAGGUGGUCUGAGAGGACGAUCACCCAGACUGGGACUGAGACACGGCCCAGACUCCUACGGGAGGCAGCAGUCGGGAAUUUUGCUCAAUGGGGGAAACCCUGAAGCAGCAACGCCGCGUGAGGGAUGAAGGCCUUCGGGUUGUAAACCUCUUUUGUCAGGGACGAUGAUGACGGUACCUGGCGAAUAAGCCACGGCUAACUACGUG